rnacentral:snRNA from 1 species
AGAUUCGAGCAGUGGCAGUAUCAUAGCCAAUGAGGUUUAUCUGAGGCAUGAUUAUUGCUAAUUGAGACUAUAAUUUAACACUUUGUUUCAGGUAUAUACUUUAAAGACUAGUGUUAGACUUCACUUAGGAA